rnacentral:pre_miRNA from 1 species
AUAAUAUUCGGAUUGUCAGUCUACUGAGCAAUAUCACGCGCUCGGUGGAAGAUCUUUCUUUUCUCGU